rnacentral:rRNA from 1 species
AACGAACGCUGGCGGCAUGCCUAACACAUGUAAGUCGAACGAGACCUUCGGGUCUAGUGGCGCAUGGGUGCGUAACGCGUGGGAACCUGCCCUUAGGUUCGGAAUAACUCCCCGAAAGGGGUGCUAAUACCGGAUAAUGUCUUCGGACCAAAGAUUUAUCGCCUUUGGAUGGGCCCGCGUUGGAUUAGCUAGUUGGUAGGGUAAAAGCCUACCAAGGCGACGAUCCAUAGCUGGUCUGAGAGGAUGGUCAGCCACACUGGGACUGAGACACGGCCCAGACUCCUACGGGAGGCAGCAGUGGGGAAUAUUGGACAAUGGGCGAAAGCCUGAUCCAGCAAUGCCGCGUGAGUGAUGAAGGCCUUAGGGUUGUAAAGCUCUUUUACCCGGGAUGAUAAUGACAGUACCGGGAGAAUAAGCUCCGGCUAACUCCGUG